AACGCACAUUGCGCCCCUCGGUAUUCCGUGGGGCAUGCCUGUUCGAGCGUCAUUUACACCCUCAAGCUCUGCUUGGUGUUGGGCGUCUGUCCCGCCUUCGUGCGCGGACUCGCCUCAAAGUCAUUGGCAGCGGUCUCGCCGGCUUCUCGCGCAGCACAUUUGCGCUUCUUGGAGCUCUGGCGGAUCUGCGUCCAGCAAGCCAUUUCACGACUUGACCUCGGAUCAGGUAGGGAUACCCGCUGAACUUAA
rnacentral:misc_RNA from 1 species